GCGCCCGUAGCUCAGUUGGAUAGAGCAACAGCCUUCUAAGCUGUGGGUCGGUGGUUCGAUUCCACCCGGGCGCA
rnacentral:tRNA from 1 species